GGGCGGACGUAGCCAAGUGGCUUAAGGCAGUGGAUUGUGGAUCCUCUAUGCGCCGGUU
rnacentral:tRNA from 1 species